rnacentral:tRNA from 1 species
GGAGGGGUGGCCGAGCGGUUGAAGGCGGCGGUUUGCUAAACCGUUAUACUGGUGAAAACCGGUAUCGAGGGUUCGAAUCCCUCCCCCUCCG